rnacentral:rRNA from 1 species
UAGGGAAUCUCCGGCAAUGGGGGGAACCCUGACCGAGCAACGCCGCGUGAGUGAAGAAGGUUUUCGGAUCGUAAAGCUCUGUUGUUAAGGAAGAACGAGUGUGAGAAUGGAAAGUUCAUACUGUGACGGUACUUAACCAGAAAGGGACGGCUAACUACGUGCCAGCAGCCGCGGUAAUACGUAGGUCCCGAGCGUUGUCCGGAUUUAUUGGGCGUAAAGCGAGCGCAGGCGGUUAGAAAAGUCUGAAGUGAAAGGCAGUGGCUCAACCAUUGUAGGCUUUGGAAACUGUUUAACUUGAGUGCAGAAGGGGAGAGUGGAAUUCCAUGUGUAGCGGUGAAAUGCGUAGAUAUAUGGAGGAACACCGGUGGCGAAAGCGGCUCUCUGGUCUGUAACUGACGCUGAGGCUCGAAAGCGUGGGGAGCGAACAGGAUUAGAUACCCUGGUAGUCCACGCCGUAAACGAUGAGUGCUAGGUGUUAGGUCCUUUCCGGGACUUAGUGCCGCAGCUAACGCAUUAAGCACUCCGCCUGGGGAGUACGACCGCAAGGUUG